GCGUACGUAGUGGUUAGUGGCCGUGACUGCUAUGCCGGAGGUCCCGGGUUCGAUUCCCGGCUGGGGCA
rnacentral:tRNA from 1 species